rnacentral:rRNA from 1 species
UACGUAGGUGGCAAGCGUUGUCCGGAUUUACUGGGCGUAAAGAGCGCGCAGGCGGUCGUUCAAGUCGCGUGUGAAAGCCCCCGGCUCAACUGGGGAGGGUCACGCGAUACUGAUCGACUCGAAGGCAGGAGAGGGAAGUGGAAUUCCCGGUGUAGUGGUGAAAUGCGUAGAUAUCGGGAGGAACACCGGUGGCGAAGGCGGCGACCUGGUCCGUGACUGACGCUGAGGCGCGAAAGCGUGGGGAGCAAACAGG